GCCUUGGAUGGUGAAAGGGUAGACACGCGAGACUAGACCUCAAAUCUCGGUGCUGAAGAGCGUGGAGGUUCGAGUCCUCUUCAAGGCA
rnacentral:tRNA from 1 species